AUCCUCGUCUACGACCAUACCACCCUGAACACGCUGGAUCUCGUCUGAUCUCAGAAGCUAAGCAGGGUCGGGCCUGGUUAGUACUUGGAUGGG
rnacentral:miRNA from 1 species